rnacentral:rRNA from 1 species
GACGAACGCUGGCGGCGUGCUUAACACAUGCAAGUCGAACGGAAAGGCCCCCUUGUGGGGUGCUCGAGUGGCGAACGGGUGAGCAACACGUGAGUAACCUGCCCCUGACUUCGGGAUAAGCCUGGGAAACUGGGUCUAAUACUGGAUAUGACCAUGGGACGCAUGUUUUGUGGUGGAAAGUUUUUUCGGUUGGGGAUGGGCUCGCGGCCUAUCAGCUUGAUGGUGGGGUGAUGGCCUACCAUGGCGACGACGGGUAGCCGGCCUGAGAGGGUGACCGGCCACACUGGGACUGAGACACGGCCCAGACUCCUGCGGGAGGCAGCAGUGGGGAAUAUUGGACAAUGGGCGGAAGCCUGAUUCAGCAACGCCGCGUGAGGGAUGACGGCCUUCGGGUUGUAAACCUCUUUCAGCACCGACGAAGCGCAAGUGACGGUAGGUGUAGAAGAAGGACCGGCCAACUACGUGCCAGCCGCCGCAGUAACAC